UACGAAGGGGGCUAGCGUUGCUCGGAAUCACUGGGCGUAAAGCGCACGUAGGCGGCUUACUAAGUCAGGGGUGAAAUGCCGGGGCUCAACCCCGGGACUGCGUCCGAUACUUCCGAGCUGGAGGUAGGUAGGGGAGAUCGGAAUUCCUGGUGUAGCGGUGAAAUGCGCAGAUAUCAGGAGGAACACCGGUGGCGAAGGCGGAUCUCUGGGCCUUACCUGACGCUGAGGCGCGAAAGCUAGGGGAGCGAACAGG
rnacentral:rRNA from 1 species